rnacentral:rRNA from 1 species
GACGAACGCUGGCGGCUUGCUUAACACAUGCAAGUCGAACGGAAAGGCCCUGCUUUUGUGGGGUGCUCGAGUGGCGAACGGGUGAGUAACACGUGAGUAACCUGCCCUUGACUUUGGGAUAACUUCAGGAAACUGGGGCUAAUACCGGAUAGGAGCUCCUGCUGCAUGGUGGGGGUUGGAAAGUUUCGGCGGUUGGGGAUGGACUCGCGGCUUAUCAGCUUGUUGGUGGGGUAGUGGCUUACCAAGGCUUUGACGGGUAGCCGGCCUGAGAGGGUGACCGGCCACAUUGGGACUGAGAUACGGCCCAGACUCCUACGGGAGGCAGCAGUGGGGAAUAUUGCACAAUGGGCGGAAGCCUGAUGCAGCAACGCCGCGUGCGGGAUGACGGCCUUCGGGUUGUAAACCGCUUUCGCCUGUGACGAAGCGUGAGUGACGGUAAUGGGUAAAGAAGCACCGGCUAACUACGUGCCAGCAGCCGCGGUGAUACGUAGGGUGCGAGCGUUGUCCGGAUUUAUUGGGCGUAAAGGGCUCGUAGGUGGUUGAUCGCGUCGGAAGUGUAAUCUUGGGGCUUAACCCUGAGCGUGCUUUCGAUACGGGUUGACUUGAGGAAGGUAGGGGAGAAUGGAAUUCCUGGUGGAGCGGUGGAAUGCGCAGAUAUCAGGAGGAACACCAGUGGCGAAGGCGGUUCUCUGGGCCUUUCCUGACGCUGAGGAGCGAAAGCGUGGGGAGCGAACAGGCUUAGAUACCCUGGUAGUCCACGCUGUAAACGGUGGGUACUAGGUGUGGGGUCCAUUCCACGGGUUCCGUGCCGUAGCUAACGCUUUAAGUACCCCGCCUGGGGAGUACGGCCGCAAGGCUAAAACUCAAAGGAAUUGACGGGGCCCCGCACAAGCGGCGGAGCAUGCGGAUUAAUUCGAUGCAACGCGUAGAACCUUACCUGGGUUUGACAUGGAUCGGGAGUGCUCAGAGAUGGGUGUGCCUCUUUUGGGGUCGGUUCACAGGUGGUGCAUGGCUGUCGUCAGCUCGUGUCGUGAGAUGUUGGGUUAAGUCCCGCAACGAGCGCAACCCUUGUUCACUGUUGCCAGCACGUUAUGGUGGGGACUCAGUGGAGGCCGCCGGGGUCAACUCGGAGGAAGGUGGGGAUGACGUCAAGUCAUCAUGCCCCUUAUGUCCAGGGCUUCACGCAUGCUACAAUGGCUGGUACAGAGAGUGGCGAGCCUGUGAGGGUGAGCGAAUCUCGGAAAGCCGGUCUCAGUUCGGAUUGGGGUCUGCAACUCGACCUCAUGAAGUCGGAGUCGCUAGUAAUCGCAGAUCAGCAACGCUGCGGUGAAUACGUUCCCGGGGCU